GAGUCAGUAAAGUUGGUCAUGCGUCCGUAUGUACUGGCUUCACUGGUUCCUCCUUCUUGAAGAACUGUGAUGUCAUUUACUUGGUGUUGCAGGGAAACAGGACUGUUACUUUGAAAAAAUUAGAGUGUUUAAAGCAAGCAUUCGCUUGAAUACAUUAGCAUGGAAUAAUAGAAUAGGACUUUGGUUCUAUUUUGUUGGUUUAGGGCCGAAGUA
rnacentral:rRNA from 1 species